GCCAACCUUCAUGACAGAACCCAAAGUAAAGAAAGGCCAGGAGGGUGCUGAUAUGAAGUCAUCAGAGACACCCAAGUCAGCAGAAAAUGCUGCAAACUUAACAUCUGAGGGGACACACAAGGACGCUAAGGUGAAGGCCACCAGAAACCUUUUUCGAAGGUUUUUCUGCUGCCUCUGCAUGCCAAGGACAAAAGAGACAACAUCCAGGGCUGACGAUGCGGCCCUGACCCGGGAUUCCUAAACCCCGGGUCUGUGUUCGGCCUGGUUGGGGCAUAACAGUUUCUGGAGCAAGCCAGGCCAGAGCAUGAAAGGAGGUGUGCCCCAAACAUCUACCUGAUAGACAGCUCCAGCCACCAGGGCAUGAGCUCUGUACCCCUCCUCUCCUACUGGGUGCAAGGGUGAACUUCAUUUGUUCCCAGAAGAAGUAGCUGGACAUAGAAGCCUGUCACAUCAUCAUGGGCGAUGACGAGGCAUCCAUCCUGCUUCAAGUCCACAUGAGAAAAGGUCCACAACCAAGAAGGAGAGGAGCAAAAUUCCCCUGAAGAGGAGGUUAGGAGUGAAUGGUGCAUGUGUACCCCG